rnacentral:rRNA from 1 species
CCUACGGGGCGCAGCAGUGAGGAAUAUUGGUCAAUGGACGGAAGUCUGAACCAGCCAUGCCGCGUGCAGGAUGACGGCUCUAUGAGUUGUAAACUGCUUUUGUAUUAGGGUAAACACCCCUACGUAUAGGGGCUUGAAAGUAUAAUACGAAUAAGCAUCGGCUAACUCCGUGCCAGCAGCCGCGGUAAUACGGAGGAUGCGAGCGUUAUCCGGAUUUAUUGGGUUUAAAGGGUGCGUAGGCGGAUUUUUAAGUCAGCGGUAAAAUGUCCGGGCUCAACCCGGGCCGGCCGUUGAAACUGGGGAUC